rnacentral:rRNA from 1 species
GAGAUAAGUGCGGAAAACAUCUAAGCACGAAACUUGCCCCGAGAUGAGUUCUCCCUGAGACUUUAAGUCUCCUGAAGGAACGUUGAAGACGACGACGUUGAUAGGCCGGGUGUGUAAGCGCAGCGAUGCGUUGAGCUAACCGGUACUAAUGAACCGUGAGGCUUAACCUUACAACGCCAAAGAAGU